GACGAACGCUGGCGGCGUGCCUAAUACAUGCAAGUAGAACGCUGAAGAGAGGAGCUUGCUCUUCUUGGAAGAGUUGCGAACGGGUGAGUAACGCGUAGGUAACCUGCCUUGUAGCGGGGGAUAACUAUUGGAAACGAUAGCUAAUACCGCAUAACAAUGGGUGACCCAUGUCAUUUAUUUGAAAGGGGCAAAUGCUCCACUACAAGAUGGACCUGCGUUGUAUUAGCUAGUAGGUGAGGUAACGGCUCACCUAGGCGACGAUACAUAGCCGACCUGAGAGGGUGAUCGGCCACACUGGGACUGAGACACGGCCCAGACUCCUACGGGAGGCAGCAGUAGGGAAUCUUCGGCAAUGGGGGCAACCCUGACCGAGCAACGCCGCGUGAGUGAAGAAGGUUUUCGGAUCGUAAAGCUCUGUUGUAAGUCAAGAACGAGUGUGAGAGUGGAAAGUUCACACUGUGACGGUAGCUUACCAGAAAGGGACGGCUAACUACGUGCCAGCAGCCGCGGUAAUACGUAGGUCCCGAGCGUUGUCCGGAUUUAUUGGGCGUAAAGCGAGCGCAGGCGGUUUGAUAAGUCUGAAGUUAAAGGCUGUGGCUCAACCAUAGUUCGCUUUGGAAACUGUCAAACUUGAGUGCAGAAGGGGAGAGUGGAAUUCCAUGUGUAGCGGUGAAAUGCGUAGAUAUAUGGAGGAACACCGGUGGCGAAAGCGGCUCUCUGGUCUGUAACUGACGCUGAGGCUCGAAAGCGUGGGGAGCGAACAGG
rnacentral:rRNA from 1 species